rfam:Populus trichocarpa scaffold_32_contig_22, whole genome shotgun sequence.
UUUAGAACCCGAGAUAUGGACUGAACAUUGAACAGUGUCUGGGCUGCAGGACAAAUUCGGACUUCUCUUUUGAUGCUAAGAUUUGGACUCCAAAACGGCAGAAUUGAGUCUUGGACUCUUCAUAAAUGUUUUAGGCCUAUGUCUUAGCUUUCUAGC